CGAUACGGUAUUGUUGCGGUUAACAAGCUCGUAAUUGGAUUUCUGCCGAGGUCGAUCGGUCCGCCCUCUGGGUGAGCAUCUGGUUCGGCCUGGGCAUAUUCUCGGAGAACGUUACUGCAUUUGACUGUGUGGAGCGGUAUCCAGGAGUUUACUUUGAGACAAUUUUAAUGUUUCAAAGAGGCAUACGCCUUUAAUACAUUAGGAUGGACUGAUAAGAUAAGACCUCGGUUCUAUUUUGUUGGUUUCUAAAACUGAGGUCAUGAUUAACAAGGAUAGUUGGGGGCAUUCGUAUUUAAAUGUCAGAGGUGAAAUUCUUGCAUUUGUUAAGAACUGAUUACUGCGAAAGCAUUUUGCCUAACGGAUGUUUUCAUUUAUCGAGAACGAAGAUUACGGGAUCGAAGACCGAUUA
rnacentral:rRNA from 1 species